ensembl:lncRNA
AUAUGUAGGCAUUCACAUACAUAUAUACAUAUGCCAUAUAAACACGCCAUAUACAUAUCAUAUACUGCAUGUACAUGUAACUCGAAAUGAGCACUUAUGUAUAAUUUUUUAAAUAUUAUUAUAUUAUAAAUGAGUAUAUUAAAAGAUAACUUGCUUUUUCACUUUUUAAAUCAUGUUUCUGUAAUCAUGUUUUUUUAUAAAUAUAAUUAAAUUUAAUUCAAUUUAUUAACUUCCCUUUUGGCAUUUGUUAUAUAUUUACUUUUGCUACUCCCUUAUAUGUAAUUGUAAAUAUAUAUAUAUAUAUAUAUAUAUAUAUAUAAGUACAUACGUUUAAAUGACAAAGUUGCAUUCUUUAAACACCCCUCACUAUGAAACAUCAAACGAUUACAGUGACUUAUUCGUUGGAAAUAUAUUCAGUGAGAUUCAAAAAGAAAUAAACAAUACUUAUAUCAUUCAAGGUACAUCGGAAGAAGCUUCUAUAAAAUGUAGCCCUGAAAAAAUAACUGGUAACGAUAAUAAAUACAGCAGUUGCAAUGACACCAAUAACAACAACAACAACAACAACGGCAAUAACAACCACAACAAUACUUACAUUUGUAAUUAUAAUAAUUUAAACACAAAUUUAAAUAAGAAGGCAAUACAUAGUAAUGUAAUAAAUAUAGAAGAGUAUGUAAAUUUCAUAAAAGCUAAACAGAAUGAAUAUAAGAAGAAAAAAAAAGAUUAUAUUAUUGCAUACAUUAACAAGAGAAAAAUAAGAAAAUUUCAUUAUGAGGAUAUGCAAAAUUUAUUUAAAAGAUAUUUGUUAUUUUUAAAUUUCCAAGAAAAAUGUUUAUUUUGUAAUAAUUAUUUGUCAUUUUCUUUUUUAUAUUUUAAUAAAUAUAUAAAAAAAAAAAGAAAGAAUAUAGAUACAUACAAAAAAAAUAAUAAAAAAUUAUUAUAUUUUUGUGAAUGUUUAGAAAAUAUUGAAUAUUCUAAACAGCAUAUAAACGAUAAAGAUGAUGAUGGUUAUAUUGAUAUGAUUCAUCUGACAGAAAAUACAUUUUUUUCAAUUAAUACCCCCUCAAAAUACAAUACUAUUAGAAGAGAUUUUAUGAAGAAGAUAAAAUAUACUAAAAUUUUCAAGCACAAUUAUGUCAACAAAAAAAUUUAUAAAACAGUUCCUAUUAAAAAAAUUGAGAAUAUAGACACAACAUAUAUAAACAAAUUUAAAUGUAUUAAGGAACCUCAAUUAACUAUUGAACAUGUUAAAAAGUUGAAUAGUAACACAGAAAUUUUCACUCCACUGUUUAAAAUUCAAAACGUUUGUAUGACCCUAACAACAGUUGAAAUAAAUUUAUUAAUUGCAUGUUUAAAAGUAGUUAAUAAGAUUGUGUGUGUUGAUCGUACUGACACAUUCACCAUAAUAAUUUUUUGCUAUUUAAGUAAUUUAUAUAAUAUUGUAAUGAGGUUAAAUGCGGAAUGCGUUUUAAGUUGCUACUCCCAGACGCAUUUGGAACAUUUUUUAUACGUAAGUGACAUAUAUAUAUACACACAUGGAUGUAUGCAUAUGAUUAUAAUUUACAAAUUUAUGUAAUUUAUUUGUCUUCUAUUUUAUUUAUUUAUUUUAUUAUUAUUAUUUUAUUAUUAUUAUUAUUUUAUUAUUAUUAUUUUA